rnacentral:rRNA from 1 species
UACGGAGGUGCAAGCGUUAUCCGGAUUCACUGGGUUAAAGGGUGCGUAGGAGGGCAGGUAAGUCAGUGGUGAAAUCUCCAAGCUUAACUUGGAAACUGCCGUUGAUACUAUCUGUCUUGAAUAUUGUGGAGGUGAGCGGAAUAUGUCAUGUAGCGGUGAAAUGCUUAGAUAUGACAUAGAACACCAAUUGCGAAAGGCAGC